CAUAAAAAGAAAGAUUUGAUACCGAUUCGGGAACAAAAAUGGUGGACUAUUUCUCAAUAUAAUGCUGCCUGACCCACUUAUUCAUCAUAUUCUUUCCUUCCUUCCAUUCCAAGAUAUCGUCCGUACUUGUACUUUAUCCAAGGAUUGUUGACAACUCUCCUGCAGCAUGUGAGGCUGGAUAAGAGGAAUUCCUUGUGAAAUUGCAUAACUAUGAGGAUGAGGAUCUGAAAGUGGUUAUUUUUAAUGAUGAUAAUUUGGUAAAAAGUUCAGAGGUGAGAAACAUUAUCAUUUUAUCCAGGGAUGAAGCAUGCCUUGAUCAGAUGCUUGGGAAACUAAAUAUUAGAGUUGCUUCUAAAUACAUGAUGUGUUCUCCUCCUCCUGAGAGUGCUGAGUGCUUCUGUAAGAAACUUGGCGAUCACUCAAUUAUAAAAGACUACUAUCGCCUUCUGGAGUUGGUAUCUCUUGAAGGGUGGAUGAGUUGAUCUAUGAAUGAACUCUCGAGAGAAUUUUUGACGUCUAAUUCCAGAGGUUGAACCAUCAUGCUGUAAUCAUCUUGCAUAAGAGGGAUCUAUGGGAUAUACUAAGAAGAUCGAUCGGGUAAAAUCAUGUUUUAGUUAAAAUUGGUUUCUGCAAACUACCCUAAACUAUCGUCGGUUCUAUCAUGUAAUAGAUUGAUGUUUGCCUGAUUUUUGUUUAUGUGAUGAUAUGUUGCACA